rnacentral:rRNA from 1 species
UACAGAGACUGCAAGCGUUAUUCGGAUUUAUUGGGCGUAAAGCGCGUGUAGGCGGCCAGAUAGGUCUGCUGUGAAAACUCGAGGCUCAACCUCGAGCUGUCGGCGGAAACCAUCUGGCUAGAGUCCGGAAGAGGAGAGUGGAAUUCCUGGUGUAGCGGUGAAAUGCGCAGAUAUCAGGAAGAACACCUAUGGCGAAGGCAGCUCUCUGGGACGGUACUGACGCUGAGACGCGAAAGCGUGGGGAGCGAACAGG